GCCAGGUCAAGAAGGAGCUGAGCGAGAGCAAAUAUCCUCCGACAGGUGGUGGCCCGCUACGAAAAAUGUCCACCAUGUCAGAAAAAGUAAUCGAGCUGUAUGGGGAAGAUGCGCCAGCAAUGACGGGUGUCAGUGGUGUUGAGACUGUCUAUUCAACUAGAAACCGUGCCAUCUGCGAACUACUCCUCUUUUGAUAUGAAUGCAACCUACAUCCACCUCAACAGCCACCUGCACCUGCUUACUGCACUGACCCUCUUCAAGCCAACUCUGAUGGCCAAAGAGCAAAGAAGGCAAAGCGGUCACCCACAAAGUGUUCCCAGACUUCCAUUUGUGGGGAAAAGGCACGCCUGCAUUGCAAGGUUUUGGAGUUGGAGAAAGAAAAACUAAAAUUUGAAAUUACAAAGUUGCAGCUUGAAAUUGUACUUUUGCAGAACCAACUUGCUGAAAGAGGUGUAACAAUUGUCCAGGGCACAGAAGAGUAGGCUGUAGAAUCAUUCAUUCAUUCUCUAUCUCUUUCUCUAUCUAUAUGGAUAACAGCUUUAUCUUCUUUGUUCCUUGUGCUAUGUGUGUCCUGACCUUUUCAUUUUAGAUAGUUUGAAAAAGAAAUGAAGCCUGAGAGCAGGCAAUGUUAUAAAUGUUCUGGAUUGGAUUGGGAAAAAGAAUUCAGAUGUCAUGGAUUUAAAAUAGGCUACAUUUUUUAUGUGCAAAAGCUGAACUGUUAAUAAAGUACUGUAUAUUAAACACCCACCGCAAAAUAAUAAUAAAUUUUAAUAAACAUAUCAAAAUGAAUAGGAGUUUAGAAUACUACAUAAACUUGGUUUAACUUUCCAGAAUGAUUUCAGCUACUGGCCAUCCACCUUUAGGGGCCUUGUUACCUUCUCUCCAUUCUGCUCUAAAAAUUUGGUCUUCUUCAUCAAAUUCACUUAAGGAGAUAAAAUUUCGGACCCAACGGGAUAUCACUAUAAGUGUUUUUAUCCUCUCCACUUUUGCAAUUUACUAACGCAUAAGUCUCACGCAUUUUAGCUAAAUGGCGAAGGGAUGAAGAUUGCAGCUACUAUAAUUUUUUUCUGGCGGGGAGGCGAAAGUCGGAAGGAGUGUAACGUUUGUUCGAGGGACGGAGCAUUCGGUAUUUGGAGUUGCAAACAGUAGGCCUAUUUAAUAAAACCCAAAUCCACACUUCCAAAAAAGGACAGUGACAAGAUGGAAAAAAGACGACGCAAGGAGGAUUUCAGUACUGUGGCAGUCAAGAAGCAUACACGUUAGCAGCAAGAAACCGAGUCUGAUUAUGAGACAAUGGAAUUACAUCUAAUAACGUUGAAACAGCCUUUGAGGAACAUGAGGGCACAUCAAAUGAUAGUCAUUCAGAUUGCUCAACAGAUGAUGAAAACACAGCAGAUAAUGAAGAAAGCACAGCUUUUGGCCUUGAAAUAGGUUCUGAGUUUCCUGAAGAAAGGAACAAUAAUCAUUCUGAUUCCUGUGAUAUUCCCUGCACCACAGUGUCACCUUUGGAACAAAGGACCAUGUUUGUGCCUCAGUAAAUGUCAGUAAUAUCAUAUAUUUGUUCAUAUAUAUAUAUAUAUAUAUAUAUAU